GAUGAAUGCUGGCGGCGUGCCUAACACAUGCAAGUCGAGCGGCAGCGAGGGGUGCUUGCACCCUGUCGGCGAGCGGCGAACGGCUGAGUAACGCGUAGGAAUUUGCCCCAAAGUGAGGAAUAACUGCCCGAAAGGGUAGCUAAUGCCGCAUAUGGUCUUCGGAUUAAAGGAUUUAUCCGCUUUGGGAGAAGCCUGCGUUGGAUUAGGUUGUUGGUAGGGUAAUGGCCUACCAAGCCGACGAUCCAUAGCUGGUCUGAGAGGAUGAUCAGCCAGACUGGAACUGAGACACGGUCCAGACUCCUACGGGAGGCAGCAGUGAGGAAUCUUCCACAAUGGGCGAAAGCCUGAGGGAGCAACGCCGCGUGAAGGAUGAAGGCCUUCGGGUUGUAAACUUCUUUUAUGAGUGAAGAAUAUGACGGUAACUCGUGAAUAAGCACCGGCUAACUACGUG
rnacentral:rRNA from 1 species